rnacentral:snRNA from 1 species
UUGCUCACUUCAGCAGCACAUAUACUAAAAUUGGAACGAUACAGAGAAGAUUAGCAUGGCCCCUGGGCAAGGAUGACACACAAAUUCGUGAAGCAUCCCAUAUUAAA